GUAGAGCACUCCUACGGGAGGCAGCAGUGGGGAAUAUUGCACAAUGGGCGCAAGCCUGAUGCAGCCAUGCCGCGUGUAUGAAGAAGGCCUUCGGGUUGUAAAGUACUUUCAGCAGUGAGGAAGGUGGAUAUGUUAAUAGCAUAUUCAUUUGACGUUAGCUGCAGAAGAAGCACCGGCUAACUCCGUGCCAGCAGCCGCGGUAAUACGGAGGGUGCGAGCGUUAAUCGGAAUUACUGGGCGUAAAGCGCAUGCAGGUGGUUUGUUAAGUCAGAUGUGAAAGCCCGGGGCUCAACCUCGGAAUUGCAUUUGAAACUGGCAAACUAGAGUACUGUAGAGGGGGUAGAAUUUCAGGUGUAGCGGUGAAAUGCGUAGAGAUCUGAAGGAAUACCGGUGGCGAAGGCGGCCCCCUGGACAGAUACUGACACUCAGAUGCGAAAGCGUGGGGAGCAAACAGGAUUAGAUACCCUGGUAA
rnacentral:rRNA from 1 species